GUUAUCCGGAUUUACUGGGCGUAAAGGGUGCGUAGGCGGUCUUUCAAGUCAGGAGUGAAAGGCUACGGCUCAACCGUAGUAAGCGCUUGAAACUGGGAGACUUGAGUGCAGGAGAGGAGAGUGGAAUGCCUAGUGUAGCGGUGAAAUGCGUAGAUAUUAGGAGGAACACCAGUUGCGAAGGCGGCUCUCUGGACUGUAACUGACGCUGAGGC
rnacentral:rRNA from 1 species